rnacentral:rRNA from 1 species
AUUGAACGCUGGCGGCAGGCUUAACACAUGCAAGUCGAGCGAGCGGCGGACGGGUGAGAAAUGUCUGGGAAACUGCCUGAUGGAGGGGGAUAACUACUGGAAACGGUAGCUAAUACCGCAUACCAUCAGAUGUGCCCAGAUGGGAUUAGCUAGUAGGUGGGGUAAUGGCUAACCUAGGCGAGGAUCCCUAGCUGGUCUGAGAGGAUGACAACCCACACUGGAACGGAUACACCGUCCAGACUCCUCCGAGAGGCAGCAGUGGGGAAUAUUGCACAAUGGGCGCAAGCCUGAUGCAGCAAUGCCGCGUGUGUGAAGAAGGCCUUCGGGUUGUAAAGCACGUUCAGCGGGGAGGCGUUACACGCAGAAGAAGCACCGGCUAACUCCGUGCCAGCCGCCGCGGUAAUUC